rnacentral:rRNA from 1 species
AUUGAACGCUGGCGGCAUGCUUUACACAUGCAAGUCGAACGGUAACAGGCCGCAUGGUGCUGACGAGUGGCGAACGGGUGAGUAAUGCAUCGGAACGUGCCCAGUCGUGGGGGAUAACUACUCGAAAGAGUAGCUAAUACCGCAUACGAUCUAUGGAUGAAAGCGGGGGACCGUAAGGCCUCGCGCGAUUGGAGCGGCCGAUGUCAGAUUAGGUAGUUGGUGGGGUAAAGGCUCACCAAGCCAACGAUCUGUAGCUGGUCUGAGAGGACGACCAGCCACACUGGGACUGAGACACGGCCCAGACUCCUACGGGAGGCAGCAGUGGGGAAUUUUGGACAAUGGGCGCAAGCCUGAUCCAGCAAUGCCGCGUGCAGGAAGAAGGCCUUCGGGUUGUAAACUGCUUUUGUACGGAACGAAACGGCUCUGGUUAAUACCCGGGGCUAAUGACGGUACCGUAAGAAUAAGCACCGGCUAACUACGUG